UACGGGGGGGGCAAGCGUUGUUCGGAAUUACUGGGCGUAAAGGGCUCGUAGGCGGCCAACUAAGUCCGACGUGAAAUCCCCAGGCUUAACCUGGGAACUGCGUCGGAUACUGGAUGGCUUGAAUUCGGGAGAGGGAUGCAGAAUUCCAGGUGUAGCGGUGAAAAUGCGUAGAUAUCCGAAAGAACACCGGUGGCGAAGGCGGUGGUCUGGGCCUGAACUGACGCUGAGGAGCGAAAGCCAGGGGAGCAAACGGG
rnacentral:rRNA from 1 species